rnacentral:lncRNA from 1 species
CCCGCUGCAGCCGGCGAAGGAACUAACUGAAAGCAGAGCUAGAUUUCGCUCCUCAAACCUCUUUCUUGUUCCAACAUCAAGUGACACUUGAUUGUACUGAACACUGAGUUUUGAGCACAGUCAAAUGGAUGCAUGUAAGGAGAGUUAAGAGACUGAGGAGGAGAGAACUGCAACUAAGUCAGAAUCUGGAAGCAUUUCUGCAAAAAGUCCUUCUUCGAAUCCUUAGAAAAGUGAAACUACAAUGACAGCCACCACCCCACCACCACCACGAACAGUAAUGACCAGUAAUGACGAGGUCAGCCGCCCAUUGAGACUAAGAUACCUCGAUAUAUACUACCCGCAGAUAGGAAUCCAGCUCAGAGACGUUGGUAAAGGGGCUGCAGCGCCCCCGAGAAAGUGGUCCGGGAGUGCGACUCCAGAAGACGAACACACAAAGCCAUCCUUCUGCUGCCUUAUUGGGAGGCUCGGUGGCAGCAAGUGUGGGGAAGCGGCGCGCCCGCGCGGAGCGAUUGUGAGGGGCUCUGCUGGAAUUUGGCAGCCCGUUGGCUUGGAGAGCAGCCCCAUGCUGGCUGCUAUUCAGCGGGCCAGUUCUCCUCGAGCUUUGGAAGUUUCACUCAGCCGUGCACUCAAUGGCUUCACAAAGCUGAUUACAAGCUUCAGCGCAUUCCUGAAGGAGCCAAAAGCGACGCAGGUGCAAACGAGCCGAGGGAGCCCCUUAUCCCGGUGACAGAAUGGGACAAGCUGGGAAAGGCUUGGACCACACAAAUCCAAGCGCACCAGGCAGCAGAAAGCCUGCCUUGGGAACCGGGGGUCAUUAUCCGCCCUAUUCAGCGGGGCCCGGGGACCCUGGGGGCCCGGAAGGCCAGCUCGCGAGGGAGAGCCGGCGGCCGUGGGGACCCCGACGGGCCUGCGGCUGGGCUGGGACGCUGGCCGCCCGCGACUCGUGCAUUUGCACCGAUGGCGCCAGUGAAAUCCGUGCUCGGACAGGCCCAGGUCAACACCAGUAGGGACAGAGGACGCAGCCCAGUGUGUGGACUGCGCGCAACCUUUGUUCAACCAGCGUCCAGACCGCACCGCCCUGUCCCUGUCCCAGCCUGGCGCUGCGGGGCCCGGCCACUCCCCCAGGCCACCGACCGUCAGCUCCGAGGGUCACUCUGCGCCCUUUCUCCCCCAGCCCGCCUUUCCCAUCUGUCCUCGUGGCAGCCGGGUCCUGCGUAGGGCGACCCCGACGCCGUAAGGUGGCAGGGACAGUGUCCGCGCAGAGAGUCAGGAUGGCGGGUCACCGGGCCGCCCCGUCGGAGCGCGCUCCCCGUGGCCUAGGAUGCCUGCGCCGCGAGUCGGACUCCACGGCGGGGAGGAGGGCCGGCCCCCCUCGGGGGAUGAAUGACGUCCCCGGCUGCGCUGAAGGACAGAAAACCAGGGCCGCGGGCGGCGGAGAGAGAAGGGCAGCGCCGCGGGGAACGCGCGUGAGAGGAGGGCCCGGGAGGGGGGCGCGGGGGGUGGGGGAACGCGGGCGGAGCUGAGGGGUGGAGCUGGCGCGCCGGCGGCUCUCGGGCAGCCCGGCGCUGUGUCCCGGCAAGCGCAGCGUUACAGCCCUUGCGUGAGGCGGGGGUCCCCCCUCGUGCGCACCCCCUCACCCCGCGUCCCCUCGGCCUCGGCCCGGUCGGCCGCGUGCUGGACCCGGCUGCGCCCGGGGGUCCCCGCGGGCAGGGCGCGCGCGCCGACGCUCUUUUGUCUGAUAACUAAUUUGAGUUAAUGCGAUCUUUAUGUAAAGCUAACAGCGGAUAAUUGUCUAUUUUCUCGCCAACAAUCUCCAUCACAAUCACUUAUCUGGAAACCUGCGGCUGGAUUAAUCGUUAUAUUCCCGAGAUGAGCGUCGCUGUAAUGCGCAGCGAACGCGGGUGGGGACAGGAAAACGCCUCCUCGCGCCUGCGGGCCCUCGUACCGACCAUUCCGGCUACUGCCCGGGACCCGGUGGCCCGGGGGGUGGUGCCCACGUGCGCGGCUGUAGGGCGCCUGCCCCAGCACUUGCUGUGUGCGCGUGGGUGGCGCGGGGGAGCAGAGGCAGAGGAAGGGCGGGGCAGGGGUGAGGGCGACCUGCAGGGCUGCGGGGCAGGGCGGCCGGGAGCCCCGCUGGGCCUCGUCAGGCCCUCGCGAAUCCCGACGCGGCCUCCGGCUCCACGCAGCCCAGGAGCUGUCAGCGCCAGAAUCAGGUCUUCUGACCUGGGUAAAAGGAUGCCCUCUGCGCCUUCUCCAGAAAAUGUUCUCCCUCUCUUGGCCUGGGUUCCUCCAGCUUCAUCCCCUGCCCC